UGACGUUCUCCCCCACGAAGCGGGCUGCCCCAUACUGGUGCGCAAGAGGAACCUCCUCCCUUUGCCAACUGCAGUUUGCUCCACGAAGGAGCGCUGGGCUCAACCGGCACGGUGGGAGCCGAGGGGUGUGAUAUUGCCUUGAAGCAGCCCUGGUACAACAUUCAACCUCCGCUCUGACGCCCAGAGGGGAAACGUCCCGUCUGCAUGACACCGCUUGCAACAUGGCGGCGGGCGCUGAGGGGGCUCCGUAGCGCGGGAAAGCGGCAGGGCAGCGCCUCGCGGGCUCGGGCGGCUCCUGGCGCGGAGCCGGGCUGCGCAGCACGCAGCGCACGCACCACGUGCUUUCCCGGCAAAGCGGUUCGCAGAGCUGCGGUUUCACUUUUGGAACAGCCGCGGAGGGGCGGCGCUGAGCACCGACCUCGAUGGGGGAGAGCCGGGCCGGGCCGACGCUGGGUGCUGUGUGUGGCCAGAAAACUGUGGGGCAAGUGGCCACCGAGCCCAGCACAGCCUGGUGAUGGAGAUCUGGUGAUCGAUGUGCUGCCUUCCGUCACUCCCUGCUGUCCCAAAUGGAGGUUUGAAGUGCUGCCGGGCACAGCUUUGCUCUCGAGGCCAAACGUCCUUCCCCGUGAGGGAAGCCGCAUCGAGGUGGCUCGUUCUGAAAUUACCCACUGCCUUCAACCUGAAGGGAGAAAGCAAACAGCAGAUGCUGUGGCUUUCUGUGACCGAGCGAGGCGUGAGCUGAGGGGCUUCCAGGCACCGCUUUGCAUUUGGAGCAUUUGGUCCCUUUGAGCCUCCAGGCUGCCCUUCUGGCCCCACUGAUGCACCAGCAGCGUUUUGUGUGGGGAUGGAGAGCAGCCCGUGGGGGUCAGCGCUGCCCCUCAGCCUCCCCACCUCCCCCACCUGCACUCCAGGCUGCCGUACCCCCAUCCACCCCUUUGUGGGUGUUGCUGGCUCUGGGUUUUGGCUUUACCUUUCUUUUUUUCCAAUGCGUGGACUUUGGAACAGCCAGGUGUGCUGCAUUGCUGGUUCUGGAUCCUCUCUGCACACACAAUGCAGUCUUUCCUCAGCCCAUCCAUUCCCACUCUGUUCUCAUUUAAAUCCGGUUCCUGCUCCAAAGGAAAGAAAGGUCACUUUUUUCUCAUAGAUGCAACAGAAAUAGUAAAUCAGUAUUUCCUUUUCUCCCAGCAUAGUCAGGAUUUUUGCGUCUAAAUAACAUAUUUGUAUUCCAAGAGCCUGAACCAAAAGAAGGAAAGAGGUUAUUCUGGUCAGAAUUUGCCCUCAGAACCAUAGAAUUGUUGAGGUUGGAAACGGCCUCUGUGGUCAUCUAGUCCAGCUGUCCACCUCCCACCCAACUACCCACAAACCCGUUCCUUUGGGGCAGCCCCUGAAUGCUUUCCUCCAUCACCAUCUGGCUAUGGAUUCCGGGAAAGAAUAACUCCCCUGUAUUGUUUUUGUUGGGUGUAGUGGCACAUCUGACUUGCUUAAUCACAGAUGCGUUGACGCUGGGGGAAUUCCUGGCUAUUCUGACUUUCAUUUUGCAUUGUCUUUUGCUCUCUAAAAGUCCCACAGGGCACCGAACGGAAAGCAGUAAGUCGUGAAUUCAUGACAGAGGAUGUCGUCUCCCUGCUCCCUUGUGCUGUAGCUUCUCCUGUGGCUUUUGCUGCUGCUGCUUCACUUCUGGGUGAGUUGCACACGCUCCAGGAGGUGGAUUUACAACAGGUUUAUAAGGGAGCUU
rnacentral:lncRNA from 1 species